CAAUUAUAUUGGCAAAAACACCAAAAAAUCAAAUUCAACAUUUUAAAAUGUAAACAAUAUAAAAAAUAAAUUAUGAAUAACCGGCUUUUGCAAUGGAAUGAUUAAUUAUGCUGCCAUUUUGAAUAGGGCUUCCUCUUGGGUAUUCAAGAGGCCCACUGUCUUUGGUUAUGUUAAAUGGAAAUGGAAGACUAGUUUUCAUUGGAGUUCCUGACGGAGUCUGUCUAACUGAAGGGAGAUCACUUGUGUCAGAAUUAUAUUGGUAUCCAUUCGGAAUACCUCUUUGGUUUUUCAUCUGUUCACUGUGCAUCAUCAUG
rnacentral:lncRNA from 1 species